rnacentral:rRNA from 1 species
GACGUAGGGCGCGAGCGUUGUCCGGAUUUAUUGGGCGUAAAGAGCUCGUAGGCGGCUUGUUGCGUCGGCUGUGAAAACCCGCAGCUCAACUGUGGGCUUGCAGCCGAUACGGGCAGGCUUGAGUUCGGUAGGGGAGACUGGAAUUCCUGGUGUAGCGGUGAAAUGCGCAGAUAUCAGGAGGAACACCGGUGGCGAAGGCGGGGUCU